rnacentral:rRNA from 1 species
UCAUGGGCGCGAGCCUGAACCAGCCAAGUAGCGUGAAGGAUGACUGCCCUAUGGGUNGUAAACUUCUUUUAUANNGGAAUAAAGUCNGNNAUGUNUNCCCGUUUGCAUGUACNUUAUGAAUAAGGAUCGGCUAACUCCGUGCCAGCAGCCGCGGUAAUACGGAGGAUCCGAGCGUUAUCCGGAUUUAUUGGGUUUAAAGGGAGCGUAGGUGGACNGUUAAGUCAGUUGUGAAAGUUUGCGGCUCAACCGUAAAAUUGCAGUUGAUACUGGAUAUCUUGAGUGCAGUUGAGGCNGGCGGAAUUCGUGGUGUAGCGGUGAAAUGCUUAGAUAUCACGAAGAACUCCGAUUGCGAAGGCAGCCNGCUAAACUGCNACUGACAUUGANGCUCGAAAGUGUGGGUAUCAAACAGGAUUAGAUACCCUGGUAGUCCAAGGGCGAAUUC